GACAGAGGAUGCAAGCGUUAUCCGGAAUGAUUGGGCGUAAAGAGUUGCGUAGGUGGUUUGUUAAGUGAAUAGUGAAAUCCAACGGCUCAACCGUAUGGACUAUUAUUCAAACUGGCAAACUCGAGAGUGGUAGAGGUAACUGGAAUUUCUAGUGUAGGAGUGAAAUCCGUAGAUAUUAGAAGGAACACCAAUGGCGUAGGCAGGUUACUGGACCAUUUCUGACACUGAGGCACGAAAGCGUGGGGAGCGAACCGG
rnacentral:rRNA from 1 species